GACGAACGCUGGCGGCGUGCCUAAUACAUGCAAGUCGAACGCUUUGAUUUUCACCGGAGCUUGCUCCACCGAAAAUCAAAGAGUGGCGGACGGGUGAGUAACACGUGGGCAACCUGCCCAACAGAGGGGGAUAACACUUGGAAACAGGUGCUAAUACCGCAUAAUUUGUUUUUCCGCAUGGAAGAAUAAUAAAAGACGCUUCGGUGUCACUGUUGGAUGGGCCCGCGCUGCAUUAGUUAGUUGGUGGGGUAACGGCCUACCAAGACCAUGAUGCAUAGCCGACCUGAGAGGGUGAUCGGCCACACUGGGACUGAGACACGGCCCAGACUCCUACGGGAGGCAGCAGUAGGGAAUCUUCGGCAAUGGACGAAAGUCUGACCGAGCAACGCCGCGUGAGUGAAGAAGGUUUUCGGAUCGUAAAACUCUGUUGUUAGAGAAGAACAAGUGAGAGAGUUACUGUUCUCACCUUGACGGUAUCUAACCAGAAAGCCACGGCUAACUACGUGCCAGCAGCCGCGGUAAUACGUAGGUGGCAAGCGUUGUCCGGAUUUAUUGGGCGUAAAGCGAGCGCAGGCGGUUUCUUAAGUCUGAUGUGAAAGCCCUCGACUCAACCGAGGAAGGUCAUUGGAAACUGGGGAACUUGAGUGCAGAAGAGGAGAGUGGAAUUCCAUGUGUAGCGGUGAAAUGCGUAGAUAUAUGGAGGAACACCAGUGGCGAAGGCGACUCCCUGGUCUGUAACUGACGCUGAGGCUCGAAAGCGUGGGGAGCAAACAGG
rnacentral:rRNA from 1 species